rnacentral:rRNA from 1 species
UUGAACGCUGGCGGCAGGCCUAACACAUGCAAGUCGAACGGUAACAGGAAGCAGCUUGCUGCUUCGCUGACGAGUGGCGGACGGGUGAGUACUGUCUGGGAAACUGCCUGAUGGAGGGGGAUAACUACUGGAAACGGUAGCUAAUACCGCAUAACGUCGCAAGACCAAAGAGGGGGACCUUAGGGCCUCUUGCCAUCGGAUGUGCCCAGAUGGGAUUAGCUAGUAGGUGGGGUAACGGCUCACCUAGGCGACGAUCCCUAGCUGGUCUGAGAGGAUGACCAGCCACACUGGAACUGAGACACGGUCCAGACUCCUACGGGAGGCAGCAGUGGGGAAUAUUGCACAAUGGGCGCAAGCCUGAUGCAGCCAUGCCGCGUGUAUGAAGAAGGCCUUCGGGUUGUAAAGUACUUUCAGCGGGGAGGAAGGGAGUAAAGUUAAUACCUUUGCUCAUUGACGUUACCCGCAGAAGAAGCGCCGGCUAACUCCGU